GUGCUCGCUUCAGCAGCACAUAUACUAAAAUUGGAACAAUACAGAGAAGAAUAGCAUGUCACCUGCACAGGGAUGACACGCAAAAUUGUGAUGGAAUGUCAGCUCAA